rnacentral:misc_RNA from 1 species
GAUGAAAAACGUAGCGAAAUGCGAUACGUAAUGUGAAUUGCAGAAUUCAGUGAAUCAUCGAGUCUUUGAACGCACAUUGCGCCCCCUGGUAUUCCGGGGGGCAUGCCUGUCCGAGCGUCAUUGCUGCCCUCAAGCACGGCUUGUGUGUUGGGCCUCCGUCCUCCUCCCGGGGGACGGGCCCGAAAGGCAGCGGCGGCACCGCGUCCGGUCCUCGAGCGUAUGGGGCUUCGUCACCCGCUCUUGUAGGCCCGGCCGGCGCUUGCCGACACAUCAAUCUUUUUUCCAGGUUGACCUCGGAUCAGGUAGGGAUACCCGCUGAACUUAAGCAUAUCAAUAAGCGGAGGA